rnacentral:tRNA from 1 species
GUUUUAAUAGUUUAAUAAAACAUAAAUUUUGUAAGUUUAAAUUGGAAAUAAAUCCUUAAAAUA